rnacentral:rRNA from 2 species
ACGCUGGCGGCGUGCCUAAUACAUGCAAGUCGAACGAACUCUGGUAUUGAUUGGUGCUUGCAUCAUGAUUUACAUUUGAGUGAGUGGCGAACUGGUGAGUAACACGUGGGAAACCUGCCCAGAAGCGGGGGAUAACACCUGGAAACAGAUGCUAAUACCGCAUAACAACUUGGACCGCAUGGUCCGAGUUUGAAAGAUGGCUUCGGCUAUCACUUUUGGAUGGUCCCGCGGCGUAUUAGCUAGAUGGUGGGGUAACGGCUCACCAUGGCAAUGAUACGUAGCCGACCUGAGAGGGUAAUCGGCCACAUUGGGACUGAGACACGGCCCAAACUCCUACGGGAGGCAGCAGUAGGGAAUCUUCCACAAUGGACGAAAGUCUGAUGGAGCAACGCCGCGUGAGUGAAGAAGGGUUUCGGCUCGUAAAACUCUGUUGUUAAAGAAGAACAUAUCUGAGAGUAACUGUUCAGGUAUUGACGGUAUUUAACCAGAAAGCCACGGCUAACUACGUGCCAGCAGCCGCGGUAAUACGUAGGUGGCAAGCGUUGUCCGGAUUUAUUGGGCGUAAAGCGAGCGCAGGCGGUUUUUUAAGUCUGAUGUGAAAGCCUUCGGCUCAACCGAAGAAGUGCAUCGGAAACUGGGAAACUUGAGUGCAGAAGAGGACAGUGGAACUCCAUGUGUAGCGGUGAAAUGCGUAGAUAUAUGGAAGAACACCAGUGGCGAAGGCGGCUGUCUGGUCUGUAACUGACGCUGAGGCUCGAAAGUAUGGGUAGCAAACAGGAUUAGAUACCCUGGUAGUCCAUACCGUAAACGAUGAAUGCUAAGUGUUGGAGGGUUUCCGCCCUUCAGUGCUGCAGCUAACGCAUUAAGCAUUCCGCCUGGGGAGUACGGCCGCAAGGCUGAAACUCAAAGGAAUUGACGGGGGCCCGCACAAGCGGUGGAGCAUGUGGUUUAAUUCGAAGCUACGCGAAGAACCUUACCAGGUCUUGACAUACUAUGCAAAUCUAAGAGAUUAGACGUUCCCUUCGGGGACAUGGAUACAGGUGGUGCAUGGUUGUCGUCAGCUCGUGUCGUGAGAUGUUGGGUUAAGUCCCGCAACGAGCGCAACCCUUAUUAUCAGUUGCCAGCAUUAAGUUGGGCACUCUGGUGAGACUGCCGGUGACAAACCGGAGGAAGGUGGGGAUGACGUCAAAUCAUCAUGCCCCUUAUGACCUGGGCUACACACGUGCUACAAUGGAUGGUACAACGAGUUGCGAACUCGCGAGAGUAAGCUAAUCUCUUAAAGCCAUUCUCAGUUCGGAUUGUAGGCUGCAACUCGCCUACAUGAAGUCGGAAUCGCUAGUAAUCGCGGAUCAGCAUGCCGCGGUGAAUACGUUCCCGGGCCUUGUACACACCGCCCGUCACACCAUGAGAGUUUGUAACACCCAAAGUCGGUGGGGUAACCUUUUAGGAACCAGCCGCCUAAGGUGGGACAGAUGAUUAGGGUG